rnacentral:tRNA from 1 species
AUCCAGGAAUGGGAAUCGAAUCCACAGUGUUCCGCUUACCGGGCAGAUUACCAUGUCCACUAGGCUACCCUGGA